rnacentral:rRNA from 1 species
AAAUUGAAGAGUUUGAUCAUGGCUCAGAUUGAACGCUGGCGGCAGGCCUAACACAUGCAAGUCGAACGGUAACAGGAAGCAGCUUGCUGCUUCGCUGACGAGUGGCGGACGGGUGAGUAAUGUCUGGGAAACUGCCUGAUGGAGGGGGAUAACUACUGGAAACGGUAGCUAAUACCGCAUAACGUCGCAAGACCAAAGAGGGGGACCUUCGGGCCUCUUGCCAUCGGAUGUGCCCAGAUGGGAUUAGCUUGUUGGUGGGGUAACGGCUCACCAAGGCGACGAUCCCUAGCUGGUCUGAGAGGAUGACCAGCCACACUGGAACUGAGACACGGUCCAGACUCCUACGGGAGGCAGCAGUGGGGAAUAUUGCACAAUGGGCGCAAGCCUGAUGCAGCCAUGCCGCGUGUAUGAAGAAGGCCUUCGGGUUGUAAAGUACUUUCAGCGGGGAGGAAGGGAGUAAAGUU